rnacentral:misc_RNA from 1 species
UUUCCGUAGGUGAACCUGCGGAAGGAUCAUUAAAGACUAAGGGUCUUUGGGCCCGAUGUCCAACCCUUUGUUCAACUACCAUGUUGCUUUGACGGGCCUGUCUCACGACCGCCGGAAGUUUGGCUUAAACCAAACUUCUGGCCCGUGCCCGUCUAUCGCCCCAUCACAUUCUUGUUCAAGUAUGAUGUCUUAGGUAAAAACUUAAUAGUUAAAACUUUCAACAACGGAUCUCUUGGUUCUG